rnacentral:lncRNA from 1 species
AAACUUUGCUCCUGUGGUCCAGCCUCCAGAGGUUUCCCUGGGAGAUGCAGCACCUGCAGAUCGAUGGGUUAGGAGGCAUUUCACAUUAUUUGUGCAACAUUUCUUUUUGCUAAUUCCAUGCCAGUCGGCGAGUACGUGUGUUCUUGGCUACAUGCAGAUCCACAGGAAAUGACUAUUCUGUUUUAAAUAUUUUUGCAUCUUUUAAAUGGAAGUGAAAUGCCAGUUCUGAGCUCUCUGUGAGGAGGAACACAGCCAAGCUGCCAGGAAUCUCCAUGGAGAGCUGCUGGAGCUGUGACCAUCUUACCCUGUGACUUCUAAUGCUGUGGCAGCCCAGCAACCGGAUUAGUGCAUAGCAGUAGGUAAAAUCGGAAGCCCUGAGUUUGAGAUGGACACUGCAGAGUGAGUGUGAGUGGAAGCCUGCCUCCAGAAUGGAAGAGCUUUUGGAGUUGGGGUUGUUCCAGGUUUAUGACAACGCUGAAGUAUGACGUGGAGGCCUUCCCUUAACCACUGAGCUGGAUAUCUCCACAUCUCAAGGAGAGGAGGAGUUACAAUCACUGCACUACUAAUGGAAAGCUGGAGCUCAGCCACGUGGCUUGCCUGAAUCCCUCCUACCUUCUUUAGAUGGUUUGAGCAAAGAACACAUCAAAGAUGUAGACAUGUCUUUCAUCAACUAAAUACCAGCAGCCAGAUUAUCUGAAGUCAUUUUCUGCCUGCUUGCCACUGGGAAGAAAGUGCCCUCAGGGGGUCUCAUUGUGUACCCCGAAAGUACACAGCAAAACAGCUCCGGAGUAAACAGAGGCAGACCCAGCACCCCCCAUCCUCCUCACUGGGGCACUCUGUAUUCACAAUAAACCCCCUGCUGUGAUCUCUUGCCAAGAAUAACACAGACAGUCUAUUAAAACAUCUUUAAUAACAUGAUAUAAUUAAAAAUAUCUAACUUGCAACUCCAA